GUGGUCCUUUCCGUUUGGCAGCCGAGUGUAAAGCAUUGCUUGAGGUUGCCCAGAGACUUAUUUUUGAGCUCGCUGUAAGACUGAGAAAUCACGUAGUCCUUCCUGAAACCACUAAGAGGAAAAAUGUCUGUGACACUGCAUACAGAUGUAGGUGAUAUUAAAAUUGAAGUCUUCUGUGAGAGGACACCCAAAACAUGUGAGAUGGAGUCUCGCUGUGUCCCCCAGGCUGGAGUACAAUGGCGCGAUCUCGGCUCACUGCAACCUCCGCCUCC
rnacentral:lncRNA from 1 species